CGGACGGGUGAGUAAUGUCUGGGAAACUGCCUGAUGGAGGGGGAUAACUACUGGAAACGGUAGCUAAUACCGCAUAACGUCGCAAGACCAAAGAGGGGGACCUUCGGGCCUCUUGCCAUCGGAUGUGCCCAGAUGGGAUUAGCUAGUAGGUGGGGUAACGGCUCACCUAGGCGACGAUCCCUAGCUGGUCUGAGAGGAUGACCAGCCACACUGGAACUGAGACACGGUCCAGACUCCUACGGGAGGCAGCAGUGGGGAAUAUUGCACAAUGGGCGCAAGCCUGAUGCAGCCAUGCCGCGUGUAUGAAGAAGGCCUUCGGGUUGUAAAGUACUUUCAGCGGGGAGGAAGGGAGUAAAGUUAAUACCUUUGCUCAUUGACGUUACCCGCAGAAGAAGCACCGGCUAACUCCGUGCCAGCAGCCGCGGUAAUACGGAGGGUGCAAGCGUUAAUCGGAAUUACUGGGCGUAAAGCGCACGCAGGCGGUUUGUUAAGUCAGAUGUGAAAUCCCCGGGCUCAACCUGGGAACUGCAUCUGAUACUGGCAAGCUUGAGUCUCGUAGAGGGGGGUAGAAUUCCAGGUGUAGCGGUG
rnacentral:rRNA from 1 species